rnacentral:rRNA from 1 species
UGUUAGUGGCAGACGGGUGAGUAAUGCGUAGGAAUCUACCUAGUAGUACGGAAUAGCCAUUAGAAAUGGUGGGUAAUACUGUAUAAUCCCCGAGGGGGAAAGAUUUAUCGCUAUUAGAUGAGCCUACGUUAGAUUAGCUAGUUGGUGAGGUAAUGGCUUACCAAGGCUAUGAUCUAUAGCUGGUCUGAGAGGACGAUCAGCCACACUGGAACUGAGAUACGGUCCAGACUCCUACGGGAGGCAGCAGUGGGGAAUAUUGGACAAUGGGCGAAAGCCUGAUCCAGCUAUGCCGCGUGAGUGAAGAAGGCCUUCGGGUUGUAAAACUCUUUC